rnacentral:lncRNA from 1 species
GAGACAGGGUCUCACUGUGUCACUCAGGUGGGAGUGCAGUGCCAUGAUCAUAGCCCACUGCUGCCUUGAUCUCCUGAGCUUAAGCGAUCCUCCCGGCCUCAGCCUCCAGAGUAGCUGGAACUACAGGUCUGUCCCUUAACAGCACCCUAGAAGGAGAAUGACAGUAACCUGGAGUUCAUCUCUUUAAAAGAAACACCAGUCAGGGAUGGAGAUGUCUGCUCAUGGAUGAGAAGUUGCUUCUCUAGAAUUCACAUCGUGAACCAUUCAAGGUUUUUCAUCACUGCUCUCCGUCAGCUAUUCAAUCAAGCAUUGAGUUUCUAGAAUCUCUCCCAGAAAUAAAAGCUGACCAUACCCACCUA